rnacentral:misc_RNA from 1 species
ACAACGGUUGAAACAACUGACAUGAAGGGUCUGAAGAAGAUCGAGGACCACUGAGACAAAAAGAGAGGAAUCAUGGUCUCUUGCUCUCAUAUGAUUGAGUAAUUGAUAUGAAAGUUCAAUUUGCCGUAACGAUAAGAACUAUAUAUUGGCUUUUUGAUGUCAUUCUGGAAUUUUGAUGAGUUUGUAUACCUGUUUGGUCGAUUGCGAUGCGUAG